rnacentral:rRNA from 1 species
GACGUAGGGGGCCAGCGUUUGCUCGGAAUUACUGGGUGUAAAGGGUUCGUAGGCGGUGUGGCAAGUCGGGGAGUGAAAUCUCUGGGCUCAACCCAGAGUCUGCUUCCGAAACUGCUGUGCUUGAGUGUGGGAGAGGCGCGUGGAAUUGCAGGUGUAGCGGUGAAAUGCGUAGAUAUCUGCAGGAACACCCGUGGCGAAAGCGGCGCGCUGGACCACUGCUGACGCUGAGGAACGAAAGCUAGGGGAGCAAACAGG